rnacentral:rRNA from 1 species
GAUGAACGCUGGCGGCGUGCCUAAUACAUGCAAGUCGAGCGAACGGACGAGAAGCUUGCUUUUCUGAUGUUAGCGGCGGACGGGUGAGUAACACGUGGAUAACCUACCUAUAAGACUGGGAUAACUUCGGGAAACCGGAGCUAAUACCGGAUAAUAUUUUGAACCGCAUGGUUCAAAAGUGAAAGACGGUCUUGCUGUCACUUAUAGAUGUAUCCGCGCUGCAUUAGCUAGUUGGUAAGGUAACGGCUUACCAAGGCAACGAUGCAUAGCCGACCUGAGAGGGUGAUCGGCCACACUGGAACUGAGACACGGUCCAGACUCCUACGGGAGGCAGCAGUAGGGAAUCCUCCGCAAUGGGCGAAAGCCUGACGGAGCAACGCCGCGUGAGUGAUGAAGGUCUUCGGAUCGUAAAACUCUGUUAUUAGGGAAGAACAUAUGUGUAAGUAACUGUGCACAUCUUGACGGUACCUAAUCAGAAAGCCACGGCUAACUACGUG